CGAGACACCAGCAGGAUCGAGUCUGGACGAAUCUGGUUCCGGCGGUGCAAUUUCCUGCACAGAUUCCAACCAACAGAAAAGGAUUCGGAAAUUGUCAUCAGAGGAUAGGAGAGGUACUAGCGUAUCUGAGAAAAACGUUGGUGAUACUCGGUUGAGCGCUGAGAGAGGGUACGCUACGGUUGGAACGGUGUCAACGUCUUCCGUUUAGAUAAUUUCUCACGGGUACUACUUAGUACUUACGAUCGACUUUACUUUGACUGCAAAUCCACCUGAUUGGUAGCCGAAGUCACUCCGAACUGGGAUUUUGAUUUUCAACCGAGUCUGCAGGUUUUACUCACUGGAUUUAUUAUCACAACUGACUGAUACCUUUUCCUGCUGAUCGUAAACGAUUUAAAAAUACAAUUUAAUUCCACGAG